CAAGUGCAAUGCAUUAGUUUCAUUGCCUACAAGCCUAAGGGCCUCUAAGCAAUGCCUUUGAAUUAUUAAACCCUACCUGCUUCGUUCUUCUUUUUCUUCCUGUAUUUUUUUUUUGGAAAUGCAAUUUGUUGAACAUUAUCUUUGUGGGUUUUGUUGAUUUAGGAUGCUUUUGAAAUACUUUUGACUUUUCUUCCUUCCUUGUGUUGCUUUUUUUUUAAGUUUCUUAUCGGAUGGAUUAGUAUCGAUCUGGUAUGGAAUGAAAUGGAAUGCAAUGCAAUGCAAUGUUUGAGAAUAAAUUUAUAAAUCUGUGAGUAUUCUAAAUUUAGUUUGUAAUUUGUUAUCAUAGAUAUAUUUUUUUAUUACUAAAUAAUUAAAAUUUUAUAUUAGAAAAA
rnacentral:lncRNA from 1 species